GCAGGGAAUCUUGCGCAAUGGGCGAAAGCCUGACGCAGCGACGCCGCGUGGGGGAUGAAGGCCUUCGGGUUGUAAACCCCUUUCAGGAGGGAAGAAAAUGACGGUACCUCCAAAAGAAGCCCCGGCCAACUACGUGCCAGCAGCCGCGGUAAUACGUAGGGGGCGAGCGUUGUCCGGAUUUAUUGGGCGUAAAGGGCUCGUAGGCGGCUUGACAAGUCGGCCGUGAAAACCCAGGGCUCAACCCUGGGACGCCGGUCGAUACUGUCAUAGCUAGGGUCCGGUAGAGGAGAAUGGAAUUCCCGGUGUAGCGGUGAAAUGCGCAGAUAUCGGGAGGAACACCAGUAGCGAAGGCGGUUCUCUGGGCCGGUACCGACGCUGAGGAGCGAAAGCGUGGGGAGCAAACAGG
rnacentral:rRNA from 1 species